rnacentral:lncRNA from 1 species
CUCUUCUCUGGCACCGGAGUGAGUGAUUUUUUCCUGAGCUCAGCCCCACACCCUGUCACAGCACAGCACAUUUAGCAGGUGCUCGGCCAACCUUUAAGUUCAAAUUCACAGCUCAGGCAUCACAAGGCCCAACUCCCCUGUCUUACAGAUGGGCAAACUGAGGCCCCAGAAGGGGAAGGGACAGGAACCAGGUCACCCGCAAGUCUAUGGUGAAGGUGGAGUGAAGCCAAGAAACCCGAUUCCCAAAUGCCUCCCAACUCACUCCAUCUCUAGCUGCCUUUAUUUUUUUCCAGGAAAAAACAGCUGUCAGAGGCAGCCACCCUGUUACCGAUUAAACAAGGCAAAUUCUAUCGGAACAGAAUCGGAGGCACUCCGGACACCUAAUUACACAGUCUGGAAGAGAAACACAGGCAGGGAAAUAGAAAUAUGAACAAACAGCACCGCCAGACAACGGGGCGCCCUCCCCACCACCAGAGCUGCCACCCCUCCCCCUCAAGCCUCUGCGACAAGAUGUGUCUCCCAGUCCUCAAAUAAGAUCCCCGCUCCCCAGGUGGAGGCUCACACACAGACCUCCCCUCUUCCCCACAGCACUGAUCCAGGGCUCCCAGAGAUGAAUGGGGAGGCGUGGAAGUCAUUUCAGGUGUCAUUUCAGGUUGACAGCCAGGGCAGCCCAGCUGGGGCCCAGCGAGAUUGGGCAGAGCUGGGCUUGAGCCCACACCUGCUGACCCUGGAGACGGG